AUUGAACGCUGGCGGCAUGCUUUACACAUGCAAGUCGAACGGUAACAGGCCUUCGGGCGCUGACGAGUGGCGAACGGGUGAGUAAUGCAUCGGAACGUGCCCAGUCGUGGGGGAUAACUAUCCGAAAGGAUAGCUAAUACCGCAUACGAUCUGCGGAUGAAAGCGGGGGACCUUCGGGCCUCGCGCGAUUGGAGCGGCCGAUGUCAGAUUAGGUAGUUGGUGGGGUAAAGGCUCGCCAAGCCAACGAUCUGUAGCUGGUCUGAGAGGACGACCAGCCACACUGGGACUGAGACACGGCCCAGACUCCGACGGGAGGCAGCAGUGGGGAAGUUUGGACAAUGGGCGCAAGCCUGAUCCAGCAAUGCCGCGUGCAGGAAGAAGGCCUUCGGGUUGUAAACUGCUUUUGUACGGAACGAAACGGCUCUGGUUAAUACCCGGGGCUAAUGACGGUACCGUAAGAAUAAGCACCGGCUAACUACGUGCCAGCAGCCGCGGUAACAC
rnacentral:rRNA from 1 species